UGCCUCCACUUCUCAUUCAGAGAAUUCAGUGCAUACAAAAUCAGCUUCUGUUGUAUCAUCAGAUUCCAUUUCAACUUCUGCCGACAACUUUUCUCCUGAUUUGAGGCCCAUGCAGUCCAGUUCGGGAGCUAAGUCACUUAAACACUGUGUGAUAGUUCCUACACAUCUCAUUAUAGUUUGUCCUGAGGGAGUCUAACAAGUUAGCAGAAAUGGAAGAACCACCCUUGCUUCCAGGAGAAAAUAUUAAAGACAUGGGUCCGUAAUGGUAUUUUUUGCUUAAUGUCCUUCCCCGUUCUGACUGUGCAGAAUGUUCAGUACUCUCAGCAUACAGAGAAUAAACUGGCUGUCAGAGACACCUCCUGUCUGGCAGAACUCUUUACCUGCAGUCUUCCCAGCAUCUUAGUGUGUUCUACAAAUCCAAAGAUGUAACUUAUAUAUGUCCAUUCACUGGUGCUGUACGAGGAACUCUGACUGUCACGAAUUAUAGGUUAUAUUUCAAAAGCAUGGAACGGGAUCCCCCAUUUGUU
rnacentral:sRNA from 1 species